rnacentral:piRNA from 1 species
CCAAGCUUUUUAUUUGGGCACCUGCAGAG